GAAGAGUGGGAAACACCAAGAAGAAGAAGAAAUCGAAUGUGAGGUUUGGUACUUAGUGCUGCAUUGUUCAGUUUGCAAACUUUAUCUUCAUCAUGCAUGCCGAAUUCUUGUUUUUUUUUCUUCUCAUAUCCUGUAUUUUUAUUUUCCUUGCUUUUGUUGUGUGCAUGAAUGAUUUAAGCAAAAGAGAGCAAGUGCUUGAACAGAAAACCUAAAUCUUUCAUUGGCAGUCCCAAAGAGCCCAACACACUGCAGCUUACAAGUACACAGACAAAACAAAUGCAAGAAUAAAGCAGGAAAAACCAGCUGCUGUGUGGCCAAGAAAUAGGAUAAAAUGCAACAAACAUUAAUCAUUAUUAAAAUAUUAUUAUUCAUCAAUUCACUUUUCUCAUGCCUUUUAUGCUCCUGUCUCUGUAAGAGCCCUCUAUCCCUGAAAUUCAGUCUUCUCACUGGCCAUCCUCUGGAAAGUGACGGAAACCACCCAGUGCUUGAGAGCAGUGCUCGAAUUUUGUAGGUGUGACCACAGAAAGAAAUCUGUGGUGAACUGAUGUCAGCUCAUUGCAAAAGAAACAUUUCCAAGUUCCUUCAAAACUUUGGGAACUGAACUCUGUUGUCUCGGUUAACCCCCCAUGUAGCCACCACCAUCAGUUUUUGAAGCCAGAAGUGACCAUAUUUAGAUAAGAGGGACAAGUUUUAACUUACCAGCUAAUGCUAGCAAGCUAAUGCUAGCUAGGUUGAGCAAGGUGCAUCGAUAACAUGAAUCAACAAAGACAGCACCGGUUUAGCAGUGACUCAAGCUCCCUGUAGAUGACACACCUAUUAACCAAAUCACUUUAAGUAUUUUCAAAAGGUUGAAUUAAAAAAAAAGAUGUACUACCAUAGCUUUUAUGAAGCGAAUCCUAUUCAUUCAAUCCUGUUUUUUUUCUACUAUACUUUUUAAUGGUGUCGAGACAGGCAUUUGAUUGUAAGCCCAACAAGGGACAAUUGUUGAAAAUUAGCAAUAGCUAUAAACUUAUGUGCGUUACAUCUGUUUCAUGUUUUGUACUUGGACUAUGUUAAACUGCACUGUCCCUUUUAAAUAAAUAGAUUAACAUGGCAGACAGUGAGGUUAGACUUGCUUUUGAAGCCAGCCUCAAGUGAUUCAUGAAACUGCAGUUUUGGCACUUCAGUCCUGGCUUGAUUUUGUUAACCCCAUUGUUUCUGUUUCCGGUGUGUUUAGUUUGCAGUUCAAAGACAGGCUACACGUGAAUGUUGCUAGUAAAAAGGUGCACAGUGCUAGAAUUACAAACAAAUAGUUUGUUAGGACUUCUGUCCUGAAACUCCAGCAUAUUGAAGGAAAGAGGAUCUGCCACUGCAUUAGAAACACUUGAUCAAACUUGGUAUAUCACUAGCUAAGAAGUGGAGAGACGUAAUGAGACAAGAUGAGGUCAAAUUAAAUAAGAUAUAAGAGAAAAGUAUUUGAUUUUGUGCAGUGUGGGUUCUGUCCAGUAGCAUAUUUGUAUUAGGAUGUGUUUUUAAUUAUUACAAUGGAUUUCUGUAUUUAUUGUAUAUGUUGUAAAAUGGCUCCAUUUCAUUGGUGUUUAUUUUGUCCAUUUUCAUCUAUAUUCUAACAUUUUAGCCUUCUGAGUUUUUGCAACGACACAAUUUUUGCUGUUAGGUGGGCUCUUUUUUUGGUACCACUCCAUAAAACAAAUACUGUGAAGUUUCAUCAAUUUUCUUUUGUCUCUGACUUUUUUAUGUAGGGUUAGCAACAGUUUUAGAAUGUUCAACCUGGCUGUGUCACGAAAACAGAAACAAUAAUAACAACAACGAAUGGAUUAUAUGAUAUUUAUCUGGAUUACUGAGUAUUUGUCACAUUGUAUCAGAAGGGAAAUGGACAUGUGGCCUUAUUUCUGUCAUAAUCCUGCAAGUAAGUGUGAGGGAGGACUCUAUUUUUAUAUGACAACACCAGGAAAUAUGUUAUUUUGCAUGCUUAUAUGGCUGUUAUGCUGCUAAUGAUUGUACUAUCUGUAUUCAUAUCUGAAAAAGAUUUCAGACAACAUUCCUCUGUGUGUUUACUUGUGUACUGUGCAGAAUCAAUCCUUCUAUUUCUGACUGCCAGCCUAAUAAUCCAGCACAUAACAGAUAUAUGAAAAGUAGGGUAGAUUUGUAUCAAACAACGUUUAAAACAUGCAUGUUUGUGUUAUGACUAUAUGUAAACAAACCCAAAGUCACAUAACCUGUUGGAUAUUUUUGUAUGAAGCAUGCUGAGCUUUCUACACAGUGUGUACAGGAUGAGGUUAUUAUAUACUGCUCACCUGUUCCAUUUGUUAUGUAGAAGCUGUGUGUAAAUAUGUUAAAGUGUUGUACAGAAUAUUUUGUGAAGUCUUCCUUCUUUCCAUUUUUUCACUCUGUUCCAAAUAUUUCUUUUAUUUUUGUUUCCACUUGUGUUGGUCAAAGUUUUUAAUUUUGUCACUGUUUUCUAGCUUUUGCUUAAA
ensembl:lncRNA